GCACUGCUGAGUAGUCCUACAAUAGGACAAAACGGCCGUCCAGUGC
rfam:Schistosoma mansoni strain Puerto Rico chromosome 1, complete genome